ensembl:lncRNA
AUGGAAAAUUUUCAAAAAGAGGAACUGGAAAACGACCAGGAAAUGGUCAAAGACCAUGUGGAGAUGGGAGGAAAGGAGGAUGUCAAAGAUAGAAACUCUAAUAGGAGGAAGCACCUACAGAAGAAGAAAAAAGAAGUUAGUAUGGAGGAUGUCAAAGAUAGAAACUCUAAUAGGAGGAAGCACCUACAGAAGAAGAAAAAAGAAGUUAAUAUGGGUGGAGUCUAUAAUAAAGACAUAUUAGAGGGUAGAAAAAGGAUAUUGUGUGUAUGGGUAUGGGUAUAUUUGCAUAUGCAUAUGUAAGUGUAAGUACAUAUGCCUAUCAAAAAAUAUAUACAUGAGUAUAUACACAUUUAUUUGCCCCAUUUAUACCCCGCCUUUCUCACCCCAAAGGGGACUCGGCAGCUUACACAUGGCACAAUUCGAUGCCCCAAAACACAUAUAAAAUCAAAGCUUAAAAUAUUAAAUAUUUAAGAAUUUAGACAUAAAAAUUUGAACAUUGCAACAGUUAAAAAUCACGCCAACCAAAAAAAACCAUGGUCUAAAGCCAUUCCAAGGUCAUUAUACAUUUUAGACAUCCAUUCUUGCACUGCACAGUUAUCCAAAAGCUUGAUCCCAGAGCCAGGUCUUCACUUUCCUUGUGAAAGCCAAAAGGAAGGGAGCUGAUCUUACAUAUGUGCGUAUACACACACAGCUAAGUGAACUAAACAAUGUAAACUAUUGAUGAGUUCAAUAGAAUAAGUUAGUUAUCAAGAUAUAAAAAAAUAAUAUAUUGAGUGAAUUUGACCCAUAGCAAAUUUCAGAGUUGGAUUAUGAAUAGCAUUAUCCAAAUAUGGUGUUGAUAAUUAUGUUUAAAGAGAGAGAACCGGUAAAAAAAAUACAUAAUAAAGAUGUAAAAUUAAUAGAAAUUGCUAAAAGGUAGUGGGAUCCAGUUAAAAAAUAGAAUUCUGUUAAAAGUUCUAAGUGUAUUUUAAAAGGAAAAACCAGAUGUAAUCUUUUCACAAGAAACACAUCAAAAAAGGACUUAAUAAACUGAAACUAAACUGGAUUGAUAAAUACGAAAAAUCGUAUGGUACUUCAAAAGCUGGGAGGUAGCAACAUUGAUAUCUAAAAGAAGUGAGUUCAUAAUGGAUAAAAUAAAUAGAGAUGAUAAGGGAAGAUAAUGAUAUAAGGGCAAAUAAAAGACAAGGAUAUGACGUUAGUAGACAUGUAUUCACCAAAUGAAAAACAAAUCCUCUUAUCUGGCGUCCUACAAAUCCGAGGAAUUUUCAAGGGAGCGUAGAUUAGACAUGAGAACACAGGGCGUGAAAAGCUGGCAAUUAGAUAUUCUUAGAGGAUUCGCGAUAAGACCUUGAAGUCCAGAUGUGUUAGACAUGAUGUCAUGGGUGCCUGGGCAGGCUCAAAUUAAGUGAUUUUGGUUUCCAGCCUUUCAGAGGAGACAAUGUAGCUAAUGGGGAAUGGUCCCCUGUUCAUGGUUCCAAGUUCAUGGUUCCUGUAUUGUCAAGAUUCCUGUUUCAUGUUCCUAUGUACCUUUGGAGAGGUUCUUGUUUCCAUGUUCAUGGAUAUACCUUUAGAUUGAUUCAGUGAUUUUAGAUCCCUUUGUUUUGGUGUUUAACCUGGCAUUUUUGGAUUACUGCUACUGGAUUACUAAGUUUGUCUUCAUAAUUCAGAUCAAAUCUGUUAAAUUUGUACUUACGAAGCAAUAUCUAAUACAUGGGCAUGGCCUACACCAAAAAUUUAAGAAUCAAAACUUCUCCCAUACUUUUUCGUUUUAGUUUUGUAAAUCUCGUAAGGCUCCCAAAGUCAGUUUCAUAUUCACUGCAAGGAAGCAAAGCUGAAAGCAAAGCCAAAGGCUGCCUUAGUGCCUUUCCUUUCCUCUGUAAAGUAAUGGAGCCUUGGCAUUAGGAGCGGGGAAAAUAGGGACGAGUGUUUUCUGGGAACAGCACAGAAAUCUAGGAAAUGUAGUAUGAGAUGGAAGGAGCCCUAUGCCAGAAAAUUCAAAAGGCCCUGCCCUAAACUACAUUUCCCAGAAAGCAGUGGACUGCUCAGCAUCAAAGAGAUUUGCCCCUCUGUAGCCAACCAGAGUUCCAGUAAAUUAUCAUUUUUGUUUCUGGGUUAUAAAUGUAAUUACUUAAUUGGUUCUAUCAUAAUAACAUGGCCAAAGUUUAUUAAACUGCAAAAACCUUGUCUUUGCACUAGGGGCAUUAUGUUAAAGCACAUUUUGCUAUCCAGUCCACCAAUUUAACAUCGUCAUCCACCCAUUUAAAAAUGUUUUCGGUGCAAAAACAAAGUUCCUGGUGCAGAACCACUACUUUCAAAGAAAGGAUUACACAAAUAAACAAGCAACAUAUUUUCUUUAUUAUUAAAAAUAUUGUUAAUAAAAACUUUGAAAAUUCCACAAAAUCCAUGGAUAAGUGAAAUGUUCUGGAAUUUGGUGGGCUAAGAGUGGUAAAUGUGUUCUACCUUGUAGCAAGUUUCACCCCAAUAGCUUUAAAAAUGAGGGAGAAAGGUGCCCCUAAAGUUUCCUCAUUUAUAGUAAUUAUGCACAAUUACUAUAACGAAAUAGUAACGAAAAUUUGUUACUGUUGUUAAAGUAGCUAAUCUUUCAUUAUAAUUUAGAAACACUUCAGAAAUGAAAUGCCAGCACCGCCCAGUUUUGUAAUGACUUCUGGUCCUUUUUACGGAUCACACAUCCCUACAAAUUAUAUAUCAGUAUUAAUAUCGCACAAAAUUUUUACUCCACAAUUUUCACACUUAAGAUGCCAACAGUUAUUUACAGGUGGCAGAUCAUUCUUCUACCAUAGAUUCCAAUGUGGCAUUACAGCCACUUUAUCAGGAUAUUUUAUAAGAUUUUAUAUUUAUUGAUUUUUAAUGCAAACUAAUUCACAACAGAAUAAUCAGCAUUCUGAAGGGAAAAAAAGAAAAAUGAUACAUAUACAAUAUAAAUAUAUAGUCAAACCUAAACCUACAACUGUAACACAUUUCUGUACUAUCAUGCUAAACUAUUAAAAUAAACACAAUUUAACUAAUAACUAAGACACAAAAACUCUGGCUCACACUCUAUAUAAAACAAUUUAAAUAUAUUAAUCUAACAUUUCAGAGAUAGCAUAACUAUUUAUAUUAUUACAUGAUUCGAUUUCCUAUUGAUUUUUUAAAAAAGUUUGUAUUAAUAUAUAAAUUUUAGAUCAACAACUUUUAUCCAUUUGGAAAUUCACCACAUGUGAAAAUUUGUUUCCUUAUCAUGACAAUCUGAGCAUUUAUUUGAAGCAUUAGACAGCUUAUUUAGGGUUAAAUAGCAUCUAUACAUAAUCUUGUACAUACUAUCUUUUAAAUUAUCAUACAAACUCAAUUGUAUAUCUUUACCCCACAUUUCCCUGAUACAUCCAUU